GACUACUGGCAGGAUCAACCAGGUAGCAUUCCGUCGUUGACCUCGAUGGCUCCCCAGGAAGAACACCGAACGAAGGGGCUCCGUGAUCUCCUGGACGAGAACGAGGGUCAUACAUUCAGAAGCGAGGCUGCUUCGAAACGUUACGCACACAAAGGUCGUGGACCGAUGCGAUAACCAGAAAUUCUCCGUACCCGAGAGAGCCGGUACCAUCGACGUGCCAACACGAGCAGGAGCUCCGCAGAGGGGACUACGGCUCGGAAGGAAAACGUCGAUGCCCGCAAAAUACCACCAACGCCGCGCGUGGCGAUGGAGGAUCGACGUACCAUGACGGGGACUAGCAAUCCAUCCAACUGUCGAAUUCGAUAUCAAGCACAGGAACCCAACGAUUGACCGCAACCGACGCUCGAAACGCCCACGCGAGCCAACAAAUGAAGGAGACACGCCGAAGCAGUUCGAUGCCAGAAGCAUGGAGCCUGCACGGAUACAUAUUCCAA
rnacentral:misc_RNA from 1 species